AGGUGAUGGAUAUAGGGGAGGUGAUCAGGGAGGUGAUGGAUAUAGGGGAGGUGAUCAGGGAGAUGAUGGAUAUAGGGGAGGUAAUCAGGGAGGUGAUGGAUAUAGGGGAGGUGAUUAGGGAGGUGAUGGAUAUAGGGGAGGUAAUCAGGGAGGUGAUGGAUAUAGGGGAGAUAAUCCGGGAGGUGAUGGAUAUAGGGGAGGUAAUCAGGGAGGUGAUGGAUAUAGGGGAGGUAAUCAGGGAGGUGAUGGAUAUAGGGGAGGUGAUGGAUAUAGGGGAGGUGAUCAGGGAGGUGAUGGAUAUAGGGGAGGUGAUCAGGGAGGUGAUGGAUAUAGGGGAGGCGAUCAGGGAGAUGAUGGAUAUAGGGGAGGUAAUCAGGGAGGUUAUGGAUAUAGGGGAGGUGAUCAGGGAGGUUAUGGAUAUAGGGGAGGUGAUCAGGGGGAUGAUGGAUAUAGGGGAGGUAAUCAGGGAGAUGAUGGAUAUAGGGGAGGUGAUCAGGGAGGUGAUGGAUAUAGGGAGGUGAUUAGGGAGGUGAUGGAUAUAGGGGAGGUAAUCAGGGAGGUGAUGGA